rnacentral:pre_miRNA from 1 species
GAAGAGCUUGGGGCAUGAACCAGAGCCCAUUGUAGUCAAUGGGAGUCUUUUUCCAUUGACUUCAGUGGGGUUUGAAUCAGGCCUUUACUUC